GACGAACGCUGGCGGCGUGCCUAAUACAUGCAAGUAGAACGCUGAAGGAGGAGCUUGCUUCUCUGGAUGAGUUGCGAACGGGUGAGUAACGCGUAGGUAACCUGCCUGGUAGCGGGGGAUAACUAUUGGAAACGAUAGCUAAUACCGCAUAAGAGUAGAUGUUGCAUGACAUUUGCUUAAAAGGUGCAAUUGCAUCACUACCAGAUGGACCUGCGUUGUAUUAGCUAGUUUGUGGGGUAACGGCCUACCAAGGCGGCGUAGCAUAGCCGACCUGCGAGGGUACACUGCCACACUGCGACUGAGACACGGCCCAGACUCCAACACGAGGCAGCAGGAGGGAAUCAUCGUCAAUGGACAGAAGUCUGAGCGGGCAACGCGGCGUGAGUGAAGAAGAUUUUCGCGUCGUAGAGUUCUGUUGUAAGAGAAGAACGAGUGUGAGAGUGGAAAGUUCACACUGUAACGGUUUCUUACCAGAAAGGGACGGCUAACUACGUG
rnacentral:rRNA from 1 species